AUUGAACGCUGGCGGCAGGCUUAACACAUGCAAGUCGAACGAGUGGCGGACGGGUGAGUAAUGCUUGGGAAUCUAGCUUAUGGAGGGGGAUAACUACGGGAACCUGUAGCUAAUACCGCGUACCAUAGGCUGAGCCCAAGUGGGCUUAGGUAGUUGGUGAGGUAAAGGCGCACCAAGCCGACGAUCCCUAGCUGGUCUGAGAGGAUGACCAGCCAAACUGGGACUGAGACACGGCCCAGACUCCUACGUGAGGCAGCAGUGGUGAAUAUUGCGCAAUUGGGGCAACCUGACGCAGCCAUGCCGCGUGAAUGAAGAAGGCAUUCGGGUUGUAAAGUUCUUUCGGUAGCGAGGCGUUAACUACAGAAGAAGCACCGGCUAACUCCGUGCCAGCCGCCGCGGUAAUUC
rnacentral:rRNA from 1 species